GUCGGUUAAUUUGUCGGUGUUCACAACCGCAUCAGUUCUAUGUGCAUGCUGCUGAAAAUAACAAGUGAUUUAUGGUGGACCUGGCUAUAUCAGAAACUACAAACUGAUUCAUUCAUCACUGGCCUUAAAAAAAUUAUUUCACAAGAUGUUCUGAACUCCAGCACAGCUGAUCUCCACUUGAUGACGGUGCAAAUUCUCCAGUUACACAAAGCGACCUGCCUCCUGAACAUCCAUUCAUUUCAAUGGAGAGGAACAGCUGCAAGGGAGAGAGGGAAAUGUUCUGAAGUCAUUGGGAUGGAAACCCCAAUGCACAGGAACACAAGAGGCUACAGAGAGCAGUGGGACUCAGCCAGUUCCAUCACGGGUACAGCUCUCCCCACCAUCGAGGACAUCUACAAG